UACGUAGGGGGCAAGCGUUGUCCGGAAUUAUUGGGCGUAAAGAGCGUGUAGGCGGCCAGAUAAGUCCGCUGUGAAAUCUCGAGGCUCAACUUCGAGCUGUCGGUGGAAACUAUCUGGCUAGAGUCCGGAAGAGGAGAAUGGAAUUCCUGGUGUAGCGGUGAAAGUGCGCAGAUAUCAGGAGGAACACCGGUGGCGAAGGCGGGUCUCUGGGCCGAUACUGACGCUGGAGGAGCGAAAGCGUGGGGAGCGAACAGG
rnacentral:rRNA from 1 species